GACCCGUAAUCCGGGUUGCGGACAGUGUCUGGUGGGUAGUUUGACUGGGGCGGUCUCCUCCUAAAGAGUAACGGAGGAGCACGAAGGUUGGCUAAUCCUGGUCGGACAUCAGGAGGUUAGUGCAAUGGCAUAAGCCAGCUUGACUGCGAGCGUGACGGCGCGAGCAGGUGCGAAAGCAGGUCAUAGUGAUCCGGUGGUUCUGAAUGGAAGGGCCAUCGCUCAACGGAUAAAAGGUACUCCGGGGAUAACAGGCUGAUACCGCCCAAGAGUUCAUAUCGACGGCGGUGUUUGGCACCUCGAUGUCGGCUCAUCACAUCCUGGGGCUGAAGUAGGUCCCAAGGGUAUGGCUGUUCGCCAUUUAAAGUGGUACGCGAGCUGGGUUUAGAACGUCGUGAGACAGUUCGGUCCCUAUCUGCCGUGGGCGCUGGAGAACUGAGGGGGGCUGCUCCUAGUACGAGAGGACCGGAGUGGACGCAUCACUGGUGUUCGGGUUGUCAUGCCAAUGGCACUGCCCGGUAGCUAAAUGCGGAAGAGAUAAGUGCUGAAAGCAUCUAAGCACGAAACUUGCCCCGAGAUGAGUUCUCCCUGAGACUUAGAGUCUCCUGAAGGAACGUUGAAGACGACGACGUUGAUAGGCCGGGUGUGUAAGCGCAGCGAUGCGUUGAGCUAACCGGUACUAAUGAACCGUGAGGCUUAACCUU
rnacentral:rRNA from 2 species